rnacentral:rRNA from 1 species
AAUGAACGCUGGCGGCGUGCCUAAUACAUGCAAGUCGAGCGAACGGACGAGAAGCUUGCUUCUCUGAUGUUAGCGGCGGACGGGUGAGUAACACGUGGAUAACCUACCUAUAAGACUGGGAUAACUUCGGGAAACCGGAGCUAAUACCUGAUAAUAUUUUGAACCGCAUGGUUCAAAAGUGAAAGACGGUCUUGCUGUCACUUAUAGAUGGAUCCGCGCUGCAUUAGCUAGUUGGUAAGGUAACGGCUUACCAAGGCAACGAUGCAUAGCCGACCUGAGAGGGUGAUCGGCCACACUGGAACUGAGACACGGUCCAGACUCCUACGGGAGGCAGCAGUAGGGAAUCUUCCGCAAUGGGCGAAAGCCUGACGGAGCAACGCCGCGUGAGUGAUGAAGGUCUUCGGAUCGUAAAACUCUGUUAUUAGGGAAGAACAUAUGUGUAAGUAACUGUGCACAUCUUGACGGUACCUAAUCAGAAAGCCACGGCUAACUACGUG